rnacentral:rRNA from 1 species
AGAGUUUGAUCAUGGCUCAGAUUGAACGCUGGCGGCGUGCCUAACACAUGCAAGUCGAACGUGAAAGGGAGCAAUCCUGAGUAAAGUGGCGUACGGGUGAGUAACGCGUAGGUAAUCUACCCCAGAAUCUGGAAUAACCGGUCGAAAGGCUGGCUAAUACUGGAUAGAGCGAUGGAAUCCGUAAUUGGGUUUUUCGGGAA